GCUUAUGCGUUGUUGGGUAGGGGAGCGUUCUGUAAGCCUGUGAAGGUGGCCUGUGAGGGUGGCUGGAGGUAUCAGAAGUGCGAAUGCUGACAUAAGUAACGAUAAAGCGGGUGAAAAGCCCGCUCGCCGGAAGACCAAGGGUUCCUGUCCAACGUUAAUCGGGGCAGGGUGAGUCGACCCCUAAGGCGAGGCCGAAAGGCGUAGUCGAUGGGAAACGGGUUAAUAUUCCCGUACUUGGUGUUACUGCGAAGGGGGGACGGAGAAGGCUAUGUUGGCCGGGCGACGGUUGUCCCGGUUUAAGCGUGUAGGUGUGUGUUCCAGGUAAAUCCGGUUCACUUUAACACUGAGGCGUGACGACGAGGCACUACGGUGCUGAAGCAACAAAUGCCCUGCUUCCAGGAAAAGCCUCUAAGCAUCAGGUAACAUCAAAUCGUACCCCAAACCGACACAGGUGGUCAGGUAGAGAAUACCAAGGCGCUUGAGAGAACUCGGGUGAAGGAACUAGGCAAAAUGGUGCCGUAACUUCGGGAGAAGGCACGCUGACA
rnacentral:rRNA from 1 species